rnacentral:rRNA from 1 species
AUUGAACGCUGGCGGCAUGCUUUACACAUGCAAGUCGAACGGCAGCACUGGGUAACCUGGUCGCGAGUGUCGGACGGGUGGGGAUUACAUCCGCACGUGUCCACUCGUUGGGGACAACGUAGCACAAGUUACGCUAAUACCUCAUACGAUCUAAGGAUAGAUGUCGGAGCACGCUAGACCUAGCGCGCAUGGAGCGUCACGGGUUAGAUUAGGUAGUUGGUGGGGUAAAGGCUCACCAAGCCGAGGAUCUGUAGCUGGUCUGAGAGGACGACCAGCCACACUGGGACUGGGACACGGCCCAGACUCCUACGGGAGGCAGCAGUGGGGAAUUUUGGACAAUGGGCGAAAGCCUGAUGCAGCCAUGCCGCGUGCAGGAUGAAGGCCUUCGGGUUGUAAACUGCUGUUGUUCGGAACGAAACGGAGAGCUCUAAUACGGUUUGCUAAUGACGGUACCGGAAGAAUAAGCACCGGCUAACUACGUGCCAGCCGCCGCAGUAACAC